AUGUAUGAUGAUGCCACUGCACUCCAGCCUGGGGGUCAGCCAGAUUCUGUCUUAAAAACAACAACAACAACAACAAAACCUGCUGAAUGAAUGGACCUGUCAGCCCCAAAUCCAAGGCCAGGCCAUCCUCUCCCUCCACAUCCUGGCACAGGCCUGCCUCCCCCUGCCCCAGCCCAGGGCCAGGCCACACUCUGCCUCCAAAGCCACCGUCCCCCCGAGGCACCACUGCAUCCCCCAAGGGGCGGAUUCGGAGGAAGGAGGAGGCAAAGGAGAGCCCCAGCGCCGCAGGGCCCGAGGAUAAGAGCCAGAGCAAGCGCAGGGCCAGUAACGAGAAGGAGUCAGCAGCCCCAGCCUCACCGGCACCUUCACCGGCACCUUCACCGGCGCCCUCGCCCACCCCAGCCCCGCCCCAGAAGGAGCAGCCCCCCGCGGAGACCCCUACAGCCCCUGCUCCCCCGGUGACCCCUAGCAAACCAAUGGCCGGCACCACAGACCGAGAAGAAGCCACUCGGCUCUUGGCUGAGAAGCGGCGCCAGGCCCGGGAGCAGCGGGAGCGCGAGGAGCAGGAGCGGAGGCUGCAGGCAGAAAGGGACAAGCGAAUGCGAGAGGAGCAGCUGGCACGGGAGGCCGAGGCCCGGGCGGAGCGGGAGGCGGAGGCCCGGAGGCGGGAGGAGCAGGAGGCACGAGAGAAGGCGCAGGCCGAGCAGGAGGAGCAGGAGCGGCUGCAGAAGCAGAAAGAGGAGGCCGAAGCUCGGUCGCGGGAAGAGGCGGAGCGGCAGCGUCUGGAGCGGGAAAAGCACUUCCAGCAGCAGGAGCAAGAGCGGCAAGAGCGCAGAAAGCGUCUGGAGGAGAUCAUGAAGAGGACUCGGAAGUCAGAAGUUUCUGAAACCAAGAAGCAGGACAGCAAGGAGGCCAACGCCAACGGUUCCAGCCCAGAGCCUGUGAAAGCUGUGGAGGCUCGGUCCCCAGGGCUGCAGAAGGAGGCUGUGCAGAAAGAGGAGCCCAUCCCACAGGAGCCUCAGUGGAGUCUCCCAAGCAAGGAGUUGCCAGCGUCCCUGGUGAAUGGCCUGCAGCCUCUCCCAGCACACCAGGAGAAUGGCUUCUCCACCAAGGGACCCUCUGGGGACAAGAGUCUGAGCCGAACACCAGAGGCACUCCUGCCCUUUGCAGAGGCAGAAGCCUUCCUCAAGAAAGCUGUGGUGCAGUCCCCGCAGGUCACAGAAGUCCUUUAAGAGGGUUUGCCUUGGAUCCGGGCACAGUUGUGAGGGCUCCUCUGCAUCACCUACCAGGAUGUCUGGAGGAGAAAAAGACAGAACAAAGAUGGAAGUGGCCUGGGCCCCUGGGGGCGGGUCCUCUCUGUUGUUUUUAAUCUGCACCUUAUAGACUGAUGUCUCUUUGGCCGGAGCCAGAUCUGCCCCUCAGUGCAUUCGUGUGCUCGCACGCGCAGACAUCCCUUCUCCCCCAUACACACGUAUACACUCACAGCCUCUCUGGCCUCUUCCCUUGGGGAGGGGCCACCUGUAGUAUUUGCCUUGAUUUGGUGGGGUACAGUGGAUGUGAAUACUGUAAAUAGCUUGUGCUCAGACUCCUCUGCGUGGAGAGGGUGGGUGCAGGAGGCAGACCCUCCCCCCAAAGCCCCCUGGGGAGAUCUUCCUCUCUCUAUUUAACUGUAACUGAGGGGGAUCCCAGGUCUGGGGAUGGGGGACACCUUGGGCCACAGGAUACUGGUUGCUUCAGGGGUACCCAUGCCCCCUGCCCUCGCCUGGAAUCAGUGUUACUGCAUCUGAUUAAAUGUCUCCAGAAAUA
rnacentral:sRNA from 1 species